rnacentral:lncRNA from 1 species
UUCACUCUUGUUUACGAUAGUACACCGCUAAGGAUCAGGGUGUCUGGAAAAACAAAGAAAAUAUCUUACAGCGUUUCUUUACGAUGAAAGCAAGAAUGAAAUGAUGAAUAGUGAAUGAUUUCUGAUAAUUAUUCGAAAGUAAUUUAUACUAUAUAUGAAGUUCUUUCUUUAGAAAAACACCAUUUAGAAACUGGGGAGGCAUUUGCCACUAUACCAUUCUCAUAUAAUGAAUAGGCACUACUAAAAUACCUACUUAGGUGCCUGUUGGAAACCCCACAUGGAUACCGGAUUCCCCGACCGGCACCGAUGAGGUGCAUGGUUUGAAAAAAAAAAACUGGAUUAGCUUGAUUUGAACAAAUGCUUCGAGCCCAAAUAUUUCCCAAAUUUUUCUUCAUCAAACACAUUAUUAUUAUCAACAUCACAAAUCACAAAAUGAAUCAUAAAUUUUUGGCAUAAUGCAAUAAUACUCAAAUUAGAAUACAUCUGCUACCCAAUACCUAACUAUCCAUUGCAGCAUCAAAGGGAAAAACAACAUCCCCAAAUCCUUAACAGAUAAGAGAACCGAAUAAACUAAAGAUCCCCAAAUCCUCAAGAUCAGCCGUCGCUUGUUGUUGGUUGUUGCCUCCAUCAUCGUGGUCCCAUCCGCUAUAGUCCGGAUCUAGCCUUAAUUAAGCUUGCAUCAGCGCUCGACUGGGAGAAGGAGACGGGGAGCUUGUGGCAGCAGAUUUCCCUGCCCUCGAGCUUGUGGCGACGGAUCAGCUGGCAUGAGGAAGUGAGGAGGAGGAGGCGAUGCUGACUGCGGAUGCGAGAAGUGGUUGUAGUGGUGGAUGCGAGGAGUGGUUUGAGGCGGCAGUGGAUGCGAUGAGGAGGGAGGACGCGUCCGGGACGACGCUAUGUGAGGUAGAGAGACGAGGCGGAUUAUGUGAUCGAGUCACGCGUGGAUGCAAUCGAGUCUCGUGUUAAAAAAGUAGGGCAGCU